UUGGAAGAGUCAAAAAUAUUAAAUGUGUGCCUUAAAUUUGGCCAAUGCGAUUAACUGCGGUAUGAGUACAACACAGUCACAGAUUCAGAAAUAGAUUAGCUACAGCCCUGUCCGGUCAACACGCAAAAUUUGAGUUUUCCCCUACAUUUAUCACCCCUGUCAAAUCAUUAUAUCUCAACCGUCGGAUUGAAAUCUCUGCGAGAUCCACGGCUGUGAUUAUCAAUCAUUGGGAUGUUCACGUGCACGGUAUACCUCGUAUGCUGCAACCCUUCAUACCCUAUGUACCUUGGGAUCUAACAUUGUAAAAUUAAUAAUAAUAAUAAUAAUCCCCAUGCAAAAGGAUAAACCUCUCAAGGAAUACAACACUCGCAACGUCUAAUACGCCCCAGUAAGCUUAGUUGGCAAAAGACCGUUGAUUCCCAUGCACCUGCACGUUACCCAAGAAACAAAAACAAAAGGAUAAUUUGUUUUUUUAUUUAAAUAAGCAUAUAAUUUUUAGUAACUUUAUGAAAUAAUUCAUGCCCGUGGAAGAGAGGAUCCAAGGGAAAGGGUAACACCG
rnacentral:lncRNA from 1 species